CGCAGCCGCGGUAAUUCCAGCUCCAAUAGCGUAUAUUAAAGUUGUUGCAGUUAAAAAGCUCGUAGUUGAAUUUCGGGACUAACAGGUUGGUCGCGCCUUUGGUGUGUACUGGCCUAGUUGGUUUCUCCCUUCUGACGAACCACGAUGUCAUUAAUUUGGUGUCUUGGGGAAUCAGGACUGUUACUUUGAAAAAUUGAGUGUUUAAAGCAGGCUCACGCUUGAAUACAUUAGCAUGGAAUAACGAAAUAGGACGUUUGAUUCUAUUUUGUUGGUUUCUAGGAUCGACGUAAUGAUUAAUAGGGAUAGUUGGGGGCAUUAGUAUUCAAUUGUCAGAGGUGAAAUUCUUGGAUUUAUUGAAGACUAACUACUGCGAAAGCAAUUUGCCAAGGAUGUUUUCAUUAAUCAAGAAUGAAAGUUAGGGGAUCGAAGACGAUC
rnacentral:rRNA from 1 species